GAGCUUGCUUGGACAAAUGAAAACUGCUAAUUUCUCAUAAUCAUGGUUCAACUCCAUGAGCUGCUCG
rnacentral:tRNA from 1 species